UAGUGAUGACUGAUAGUGAUGUACUGAUAGUGAUGUACUGAUAGUGAUGACUGAUAGUGAUGACUGAUAGUGAUGACUGAUAGUGAUGUACUGAUAGUGAUGACUGAUAGUGAUGUAAUGAUAGUGAUGUACUGAUAGUGAUGACUGAUAGUGAUGACUGAUAGUGAUGUAAUGAUAGUGAUGACUGAUAGUGAUGUACUGAAAGUGAUGUACUGAUAGUGAUGACUGAUAGUGAUGUACUGAUAGUGAUGACUGAUAGUGAUGACUGAUAGUGAUGUACUGAUAGUGAUGUACUGAUAGUGAUGUACUGAUAGUGAUGUACUGAUAGUGAUGACUGAUAGUGAUGUACUGAUAGUAAAUCUUGCUCCCCAGAACUGUGCUGUUAUGUCAGAUGAAGAGCUGAAUGAUGACCUUUAGCACAGUAAGCAGGAGGCCCAAACUAAGAGGUUAGAUUAACUUUUUCCCCCAUCUACAGUCAGUGGUAAAGGUGAGUGGUUAGUUUAAAGUUAGCUUUUUGAUGUCCCAGAGAGCUUCUGGAUGAGAACAAGGUCAGAGUAAACACGAUGUGUUAUCUACUCCUGACAAAUCAGAAAACAGGGAUUACGUGACUGUGUUGACCAACAUCCUUUUGGAAAGCUUAGAACCAGCUUGGCACCACAAGAGCAUGCCUGAACAGUUUUCACAUGGAUUAAUAGUAUUUUGGGGGGAAGCUAGUGUACAUCACUGGAGUUGAAUUACAGCAUAAUGAAAAGUGGUCAGUGGUGUUCUCCCUCUUCUAGCCAUGGCCUAACAGUAGGCCUAAGCAUUGAUGCCAUAGCCAACCUUAGGUCUUCAUAGGACCCACAUACUAGAUGUCUAUGUGAACUGGGGACUGAAGAUGGGGGAUUCCAGAAAGUGCAGAAGAAUAUUGAGAUGUGAGAACGAUGAGGCAGAGGUGGAUGGAGACCAAACUACACACUGAAGGACAAAACGUCCAAGCCAGAGAGAAGCCCACAUAGAUGACAUCAAAAUCAAUGACUCUCAAGCUUGUUUGACAGAAACUGACGUUCCACUGUUAUCCUUCUUGGUGCGUUCUGCACUGACCUUGGGAGCUGAAGCCCUUUGGAGAGAGAUGCAUUGUGCUGCAGAGAUCCACUGCCAAUUACCAGUGACAGUGACCACCUGAGGGCAGAAAACACCACAACCACAGGAGCUGGAAUGCCAAACAGUGAGAACCCCAGAACCUCCUACAUUAACAUGUAUUGUAAAACUUACAGGAGGAAAUGCAAUUUGAAUUGUUCAUCUCACCUCUCUCAAUGAGUGUCUCAA
rnacentral:lncRNA from 1 species